rnacentral:rRNA from 1 species
UACAGGGGGGGCAAGCGUUGUUCGGAAUUACUGGGCGUAAAGGGCUGGUAGGCGGCCAACUAAGUCGGAUGUGAAAUCCCCAGGCUUAACCUGGGAACUGCAUCCGAUACUGGUCGGCUUGAAUCCGGGAGAGGGAUGCAGAAUUCCAGGUGUAGCGGUGAAAUGCGUAGAUAUCUGGAGGAAUACCGGUGGCGAAGGCGGCAUCCUGGACCGGCAUUGACGCUGAACAGCGAAAGCUAGGGGAGCAAACGGG